CCAGUUUGGGGAUGGUAGACAGCGGACCUUCCUCCUCCUGUGGCUUCCAAGAGCCUCCAAGCUAGGGUCUCCAGACCAGAGACCUCCAGGGCUGGUCCCUAGGACACACACCCGCAGGGCAGCAUGUGGCUUCAUUCAGGUUGGGUGGCCUGAUUCUGGAAGACAGGACAAGAGUCACCUCCCCUCCUUGAUGAGUAGCUCAUCUUCCUCAUCUUUGCUCCUCUGUGAAAUGUGGAAUGACCCCAGGCUCGGAGGACUGCAUGAGGAUAGUGGGCGUAUAUAAAGUCUGAGGUUCUGCCGGGAGGGUCGGAGAGACGACAAGAAUUGUUACCUGAGAGGAAGCAGUGCCGAUGCUGAGUCACCAUGUCCUGACAGGUUUAUUGAGAAACAAUUCAGAUAGCCUGCGAUGGACCAGUUUGAUGAUGAUUCAAAGGUUACAAAGUUGUAUAAUCAGGGCUGGAGAGAUGGCUCAGCGUUUAAGAGCACUGGCUGCUCUU